GGUUCUGCCCCGGGAAAACUACUUGGCUGAUCAGUAUCACUAACCAUCAAAGAAACAGAGAAAAACCACAGAGAAGCUAUAUCUCAUGAAUUAGGAUGGCUUCUAUUAAAAAUUAGGACCCUUCUGCGCUGUUGAUAGACUGUACAAUGAUGCAGGCACUGUGGGAGCUGUCAUAUGAUCUAGCAACUAGGCGUAUGAUUAAAGGCAUUGAAGACAUUUGAUGAAGAGAUAUAUGCACUUACCGUAUUUGUCAUAGUAAUCUGUAUAUUAGCCAAGAAGUGGAAAAAACCCAGAGUAUCUUUUGAUGGGAGAAUGGAUUUAAAAGAAACAUGGUAUGUACAUGUAACAGAAUACUAUUCACUCUUCAAAAGGAAGCAAUUCUGAUACAUUUGAUGAACCUGGAGGAAGUAAUACCUAGUGAAAAAAAACAACUGGACAAAAACUUUCUGACACUUCCCCCCCAAACAUUGUUUCAAGUGCUCAGAAAGUAGGAUGGUGGUGAUCAGGGUGGCAAAAGUACAAAGUUAAUUUUCCUGACAGCUCAGUCAUUUCUCUUCCAACAUGGGAGUCGCCUUCUUGAGGUAACUGCCUAGUCAGCUCAGGACCUGUCCUUCUCCUUCACUGAAUUUCCUUCUGGAUGGCAUCUGGGAUUCAGGAAUGCAGCAAUGGAGCUGGCAGAUCUAUGGAGUGUGGCUGACUUCAGAGAAAAAGCUGGUCCUGUGGUUGGAAUGCUACCUGUGUCUCAUCUUUGAUUGUCAGAAGAACUGGGUGACAUCCACCCCAUUGCCUUUGCCUGCUCCACUUUGGGCUGGGUCCUACAGACACUGAGGACACUGAUCUAGGAAUCCUCACAGCCAUUUGUGAGGAUCCCUAGAACACAUACAGGAACCCCAACAUAAAUAAUAAUGAGUGUUACCUGUGCCCAGGGCCUGUUAUUUUAUGUUACAUACACAACACAUCCGAUCCUUACAAUGUGCAAUAAAUAAU